UACAGAGGUCCCAAGCGUUGUUCGGAUUCACUGGGCGUAAAGGGCGCGUAGGCGGUCAGCACAAGUCAGUUGUGAAAUCUCCGGGCUUAACUCGGAAAGGUCAACUGAUACUGUGCGACUAGAGUGCGGAAGGGGCAACUGGAAUUCUCGGUGUAGCGGUGAAAUGCGUAGAUAUCGAGAGGAACACCGGUGGCGAAGGCGGCGACCUGGGUAGAUACUGACGCUGAGGUGCGAAAGCGUGGGGAGCAAACAGG
rnacentral:rRNA from 1 species